rnacentral:lncRNA from 1 species
CAGAAACAGUGGGAACUCAUACUUCAAAAGCCGAGCUGAGCUACCCAAAUCACAGUCGAUCACCACUGUCCAUCUGUGUACGACAGCAAACAAGCUAUAUUUACACAGCAGUGUACGGAUAAAGAAAGAGAGAGAGGGGGGAAGACGAGGAGUACGAAAUCUGUGGACAUAAAUCGAGCUAGGCCGAGCCUCGAAGGACGGCAGCCACUAAGAUCGUACCCCACCCGGAACUGCUCCGGAGUGUUGCGCAAUAUUAGAUGAAGGUAGCAGCGCUUGAUACUAAUGUCAAACUCGAUAUCCGCUCUUAGCGGCAAGCCGCCAAUGGAAUACCCCAUGCAUGCACAUCAAACCCUCAGUUCCAAGACGAAUCAGGAAGAAGAGGGAAUGACAUCCAUAGGAGGCUAAAGAAA